rnacentral:rRNA from 1 species
GCCGGCGUGCCUAUACAUGCAAGUCGAGCGGACCGACGGAAAGCUUGCUCCCUUAGGUCAGCGGCGGACGGGUGAGUAACACGUGGGUAACCUGCCUGUAAGACUGGGAUAACUCCGGGAAACCGGGGCUAAUACCGGAUGCUUGAUUGAACCGCAUGGUUCCAUCCUUAAAAGGGGCUUUUAACUACCCCUUUACAAAGGAACCCCCGCCCCAUUACUAAUUUGGGAAGGAACCGCUCCCCCAGGGCACCAAGCCUAACCCAACUGAAAAGGUGAACCGCCCCCCUGGGAAUGAAAACCCGGCCAAAAUCCCACCGGAAGGCACCAUAAGGAAUCCUCCCCAAUGGAACAAAGUCCGAACGAACCACCCCCCCUGGAUGAAGAAAGGUUUCCGAACCUAAAACUUUGGUGGUAAGGAAAAACCAAUUCCGUUCCAAUAAGGCGGUACCUUUGCCGGACCUAACCAAAAAGCCCCCGCUAAUUCCUGGCCACCACCGCCGGUAUACGUAGGGGGGAAGCGUUGGCCGAAUAAUUGGCGUAAGGGCGCGGAAGCGGUUUCUUAGUCUGAUGUGAAACCCCGGCUCACCGGGCACGUCCAUGGAACCUGGGGAACUUGAGUGCAGAAGAGGAGAGUGGAAUUCCACGUGUAGCGGUGAAAUGCGUAGAGAUGUGGAGGAACACCAGUGGCGAAGGCGACUCUCUGGUCUGUAACUGACGCUGAGGCGCGAAAGCGUGGGGAGCGAACAGGAUUAGAUACCCUGGUAGUCCACGCCGUAAACGAUGAGUGCUAAGUGUUAGAGGGUUUCCGCCCUUUAGUGCUGCAGCAAACGCAUUAAGCACUCCGCCUGGGGAGUACGGUCGCAAGACUGAAACUCAAAGGAAUUGACGGGGGCCCGCACAAGCGGUGGAGCAUGUGGUUUAAUUUGAAGCAACGCGAAGAACCUUACCAGGUCUUGACAUCCUCUGACAACCCUAGAGAUAGGGCUUCCCCUUCGGGGGCAGAGUGACAGGUGGUGCAUGGUUGUCGUCAGCUCGUGUCGUGAGAUGUUGGGUUAAGUCCCGCAACGAGCGCAACCCUUGAUCUUAGUUGCCAGCAUUCAGUUGGGCACUCUAAGGUGACUGCCGGUGACAAACCGGAGGAAGGUGGGGAUGACGUCAAAUCAUCAUGCCCCUUAUGACCUGGGCUACACACGUGCUACAAUGGGCAGAACAAAGGGCAGCGAAGCCGCGAGGCUAAGCCAAUCCCACAAAUCUGUUCUCAGUUCGGAUCGCAGUCUGCAACUCGACUGCGUGAAGCUGGAAUCGCUAGUAAUCGCGGAUCAGCAUGCCGCGGUGAAUACGUUCCCGGGCCUUGUACACACCGCCCGUCACACCACGAGAGUUUGUAACACCCGAAGUCGGUGAGGUAACCUUUUGGAGCCAGCCGCCGAAGGUGGAACCAGG